AAAGAAAUAAGUUAAUUAAACUGUAUGAUUCAUGAUCAUAUAAUACAUAUUAUGUUUUCUUUA
rnacentral:tRNA from 1 species